AUACCUCAUCCUAAUUUAUACUAACACCAUUUCUCAACCCAAUCUAGCACAGUAUCGAUACCUCAUUCUUAUUAUACUACCACCAUAUCUCAACUUACUCUAGCACAGUAUUGAUACCUCAUCCUAAUUAUACUAACACCAUAUCUCAACCCAAUCUAGCACAGUAUCGAUACCUCAUUCUAAUUAUACUACCACCAUAUCUCAACCCAAUCUAGCACAGUAUCGAUACCUCAUUCUAAUUAUACUACCACCAUAUCUCAACUUACUCUAGCACAGUAUUGACACCUCAUACUAAUUAUACUAACACCAUAUCUCAACUCAGUCUAGCGCAGUAUCGAUACCUCAUGCUAAUUAUAUUUACUCUGUAUCCCCCCUGUAACACAUUAUCUGUAUCUCACGUUAAUUUUAUUUACCCUGUAUCUCACCCAAAUAUAACACAGUAACCGUAUCGCAUCCCAAUCCCCCUGGCUGACGUCAGGUGGGUCACGCCGAGGUCCAAUCAGAGGCUUAUUAAAGAGAAGCUUUUAUUGAAUGAUUUAAUGGGCUCAGAGCACAUCCUUGCACUCCGGAUCCACAAGAUGAAGAAUAAAAGAGGAGGAGGGAGGGCAGAGUAGGAAAACGUAUCAUGUAGGGGAUAGGCAGGCAGGAAGGGCUACAAUCAGUGUGGCAGGGAGGGCAGACAAGAGCUUCCCCUUGCAGACCCUGCUUGUAAGGGAGAAGCAGUUACGUCUGUCGGCAGCGUGCAGUGAUCACUGACGACAGAUGUGUUUAGUGCAUAGAAUUAACAUUAGGUUCCUAAUAAAGGAUGGAACUUGAAACAGAACCCUGCAGAUCCUGGUUCCUACCGCCAAGACCACUUCAAAAAGCUAACGUGGUGGUUGAAGUAUCCCUUUAAGUCGUAAACUUACGGCGCAGGCAGAAGUUGGAAUCAGGCGAUAGGUGGAGAAGACUGCUUGAAGCAUUGAUAUACUUUUCCAGUUGCCUGCAUUGGAGUGUUGAGAUCCUGAGUACGGGUUUUACAAGCUUGCUAGUCCUCUAGUCUAUCAAAAACUAUUAAAACAGGCUGACUACAAUUUAAAUAUUUAUAUUAUAAGCUGCCCUAACACACAUCGUCUCAUUAAUGCACAUGCAGAAAGUAGUAGUUAACAGUGACAUAUUAAUGCAUACCUACAAAUUCUGCCUUUAUAAACUAAUGUGCAGAAUCCUGACAAUAUAUCAUUUAAUCAACAACAUUCUCAAUGGGUUAUGAGAAACCUUCAGGCUUACAAUCUUACCACAACGACAGCUGGCAAACCGACCCCAAGAUAUUUUGUAACAACUUAUUUAUUCUGCAAUAGUAUAUUUAGCACGCCAACAAUUUUACGAAUUCUGACACGCCAUGAUUUUGCCGCAAGAGAACUUCAUCCGUGUUCUCAUCUAGAUUAAAAAAAAAUUCUGAUCAGAGUGACAAAACGUCUGAAAACCAAAUUAUAACCCUGUACCUAUAGAGGGCAAAUAUACUUCUCUUUUUUUUUCUCUCUCUCUCUUUGUGUGUGUUGGAAUUUUACCUGCAUUUUAAUAAAAGCAAAAAUGUGUGCUUGCGUAAAACAGUGUAAAAUUGUGGGGUUCUUCAUUUAUUUU